rnacentral:lncRNA from 1 species
CACCUCCCGAGCAGAAAAAAAGAGAAGAAGAAGAGAAUUUAAGAAUUUAAGUCUUGCCUUCUCAUUCAUAAAUCCCUCUACAUAUAUAACAUGAAGGAGGUUACACCCUCUUGCUUCACAAUAGGACAGCUGUCAAUUAGUUGAAACAGAAUAACUAAAAUGGAAAUGCUAAGCGACUGCAAUCAUUUAUUAAUACUGAUAUUCCUUUAGCCACAUGGGUGGUUUACGUGUCCUCUUGACUGACACGUAUCCUUCUUGAGCUGUUGGUGUGGCCGUUGUUCCCGUAUCAUCCCCCAACCCUUCAGACUUGACAUUGUCCUCAAGGUCAAAAUUUGGGUAUAGGACUUUGAACUCAUCAAGAGGAAUCCAAGAAGCAUCUUCAAGUAGCAAACCAUCCCAUUGCACUAGUAGCUGGAGCUGUAUGUUUUCCCCAUCAUGCACAUGUCUUGUUCGAAGAAUAGCAAUGGGUUCAAUGACUGGAUGGUUGUCAAUCGUUGUAGAGGGCAGGGGAGCAACAUGGAGGUUGGUGUCUUGUUUGUAUGGUUUCAAAACUGAUACAUGGAACACGGGAUGCAGCCUUGCAUGUUCUGGUAGCUGGACUCUAUACGCCACUGCACCUACUUGAGCUUCAAUCAUAAAUGGUCCAUAGAAUCUUUUACUUAGUUUGGUGAAAGGUUGUUGAGCUAGUGUAGUUUGCCUGUAUGGUUGCAAUUUUAUUAACACUAAAUCACCAAUCUGAAAGUGUUGUUCGCGUCGGUGUUUGUCGGCACAUUGUUUCAUACGGUUCUGAGCAUGCUGCAAAUGAAUCUUCAGUUCUCUUAGCAAUUGAUCUCUCUUUUGCAGUGUCUCCUCCACGGCUUCUACAACAGUGUUUGGGCGCAAACCUGGCAGUAGAGCAGGUAGGGGGCGACCAUAAACCACCUGGAAUGGUGUGGUCUUGAUUGAGGAGUGAUAUGCCGUAUUGUAGGAGUACUCGGCCCAAGACAAAUACUUGUACCAAUGUGUGGGGUGAUCAAAAGUGAAGCUGCGAAGAUAUUGUUCAAGACCUCUGUUGGUAACCUCUGUUUGACCAUCCGUCUGUGGGUGGUAGGCGCUGCUGUACAGCAACUUAGUUGAAGGGUCUCGGUCACUGAUUAUCGUUGAAGGGAUGCCGUGUAAUUUGCAAACAUUCUGAACAAAAACUUCUGCUACUUUUGUGGCAGUAAAACCAGUUGGGAGGGCAGCAAAGUGAGCAUACUUGGACAACCGAUCGACGACUACCAAUAUGGCAGUAAAGCUAUGUGACAAAGGGAGCCCUACUAUGAAGUCCAUAGAGAGGUCUUCCCAUAUUUUGCUCGGAAUCUCGAGUGGUUGCAAGGUACCUGCAGGAGCUAAUGUCUCAUACUUCGUUUGUUGGCACACUGGACAAGUCUGGACAUAAUGCUUAAUAUCUUCCGCAUACGUGGCCAUUCAAAUUGUGACUGCACCCUAGCUGUAGUUCGAAAAAUGCCAUUAUGUCCCCCAAGUGGUGUAUCAUGUAGUUCUCGAAUGAUUUCCGUCUUGUGAUUGGAAUCCGAGCUUAUAACAAUUCUACCUUUAUGCCAAAUCAACCCUUGGUGUACCUGAUGAUGGGGAAAUUUUGUUCCAUCCUGAAUAAUAGCUUGUUGAAGUUGAACGAGGUCUGGCAACAAAGUAGUCUCAUGCUUCAAUUUUUCCAAGAGCAAACUCGUUUGAUGUGUCAGUGUUGACAAUGUAGGCGACCCUUCAAAAUUAGCAUCCUCAUCAUCUUUUCGGGACAGCGCAUCAGCUACACGGUUACUGAUUCCAGGGUUAUAAAGAAUUUCGAAGUUAAACCCCAGUAGUUUAACUAAGAAUCUUUGUUGCUCCGGUGUUUGGAUGGUUUGUGUCAUCAAUUCUCGAAUGCUCUUUUGAUCCGUUUUGAUGAAAAACUUCCUGCCCAAUAGAUAUUGUCUCCAUUUAGCCACGGCUUCCGUAAUCGCAUACAACUCUCGUACAUAUGUGGAAGCCUGUUGCAUUUUGGAAUUCAGUUUUUUGCUAUAAUAUGCUAUGGGAUGCAAAUCUUGGAUUAGUACAACUCCAAUUCCCACUCCUGAUGCAUCUGUUUCGAUGGUAAAUGACUGCUCGAAAUCUGGUAAUGCGAGGACUGGGGCUUGAGUCAUGGCUGUCUUUAAUAGUUGAAAGGCCUAAUCCGCUGCUGGUGACCACUUAAAGGUAUCUUUCUGGAGCAGAGAAGUAAGUGGACCAACUAUGGUUGCAUAAUUCUUCACAAAACGUCGGUAAUAGCCGGUGAGACCAAGGAAACUUCGAAGCUGUCUAAUAUUAGUCGGAGUAUCCCACUGCAGAAUGGACUGACCCUGGCUGACACAAUAUGACCCAAAUAUUCAACUUGCUUUUGAGCAAACUGACAUUUACUCAUUUUCACAUACCAACGGUGGUCUCGCAAGCACUCCAGAACUAGUUGCAGAUGCUCGACAUGAUCCGAUAGAGUUUUGCUAUACACUAAGAUAUCAUCAAAGAAGACGAUCACAAACUUCCUGAGAAAUGGCUUCAGCAGGGCAUUCAUAGCCGAUUGAAAAGUUGAAGGCGCAUUUGUAAGACCAAAAGGCAUCACAACAAAUUCAUAGUGACCUUCAUGAGUUCUAAAGGCCGUCUUGUGGUUGUCUUUAGGGUCCAUUCGUAUCUGAUGGUACCCUGCACGUAGGUCUAUCUUGGAGAACACAGUGGCCCCAAAAAGUUCAUCUAAUAGUUCAUCAACUGUGGGAAUAGGAAACUUGUCUGGAAUGGUAAUUUGAUUGAGAGCUCUAUAAUCCACGCAAAACCUCCAUGCUCCGUCUUUCUUUUUAACCAACAACACAGGAGAAGAGUAAGGACUUUUACUUGGUCUAAUCACUCCUGAUGUUAACAUUUCUGAGACGAGUUUCUCUAUUUCAGUCUUUUGGAAAUGUGGGUACCUGUAGGGACGAACACUGACUGGAUUUGCUCCUGGUACAAUGUGAAUUUGAUGGUCAUGGUCCCGUUGAGGUGGUAGCUCCCUUGGUGGUUCAAAGAUGGUCCGAUUUCUGGAUAUAACUUCCUGAAUUUCAUCAGCUAAUUCGGGCAGCCCUCCUGCUAAUGCCUCACCCAUUUGGCUUGUCGCUGUUAAUUGAUAACAAGAAGCUAUGGCAUCAGUUGCAAUCAAUCUCCUCAAUUGAUUAAAAUGAAUUGCUGUAGGCGCAAGCAGUGGAUCUCCUUGAAGCUCUAUGUGCUGUCCUUUCCAGUGAAACGACAUGGUCAGUGCUUUAUAAUCCAUCAUUACUGGUCCCAAAAGUUCCAACCAUUGUACCCCGAGUACUAUAUCUACCCCCUGUAUCGGUAAAACAUGGAAAUCUACCAAAAACAAGUGUUGUUGAAUCUCCACUGGGACGUGUGGACAAUGCCCGGUGCAAGCCAUGGACUCCCCAUUCCCAACCAACACAGAGAAGUGUUUAGUAGGAAGGAUUGGGGAUCUCAAGUGUUGUACCAGCCUUUCCUGAAUAAAAUUGUGAGUGGACCCUCCAUCAAUCAGAAUCUGAACUUCUUUCCCUUUGAUUUUUCCCUUGAAUCGCAGCGUGUGAGGAAAAUGUUGUCCUGCCAUAGCAUGGAAACUAAUAGCAGGAGGUAUUUCAUCAUUCAUCUCUUCAUUUUCCUGGGAACCUUCCAAUUGCAGGCACUGAUUUUCCUCCAAAUCCUCGGUGUCCUCUAGCAUCAACACAAAGAGUUUGGCCUUACAUUUAUGUCCCUUCCCGAACUUUUCGUCACAGUUAAAACAAAGCCCCUUCUCCCUACGUUCCAUCAUCUCUGCUGCUGUUAGUUUUUUAACAGGUAUACUAGAACUCUUGACAUUAAUCAAAGCAUUAUUUGGAGUCAUCUUUGGAGUCGGUAAUAGGGGUGGUACUGGAGAGGGUUUAAUAGUGGGGACUAGGACUGGUCGACUAGGCCAACUUCUUGCACCAGUGUCCUAGAGUUUGUCUUCCAUAAGUUUAGCUAGAUUCACAGCUUGCAUAAAGGAGUGAGGUUGCAGGGCACGAACCUCUCUACGGAUAUCAUUGCGCAAUCCCGAUUCAAAGCAGCUUUGAAGGAAAGACUCAGGGACUCCAGUUGUUUGGUUGGCUAAGGCUUCAAAUCUAGACUGAUAAUCUGCUACACUGGUUGUUUGAGUCAGCUUGGCAAGCUCACCUUGGAUGUCCCUAUACUCCGAAGGACCAAAUCGAACCAAGAGGGCCUUGAGAAAUUCCUGCCAUGUUGGGAGUAGAUUAUUACGAUGCAUCCAUUGGUACCAAUGCAAGGCGUCCCCAUCCAUAUGAAAUGACGAUAUCACUAAACGCUGAUGAUUUGGGGUUUCAUGGUAAUCAAAAAACUGUUCGGCCUUAAAAAUCCAUCCAUGAGGAUCCUCCCCAUUGAAACGAGGGACAUCAAGCUUCAGAGUCCUUAGGGGGUUUGCGGCGUUGACGUCACCUACGACAGCGUUUUCAGGUCGAGCACCUGAAGGUAAAGAUGAUCCCGACACCUCAACAAUAGGAUUUCUCAAACUCUGUUCUAAACGACCUUCGACGGAGGUCAAUUUCAAGCUGAUUUCCUUCAAAAUGUUCCCAAAUGAGUUAAACUGUUCAUCAUGGGUAGAAAGACGGUUCAGGCAAUCCUCCAGCGCCUGUGUUACAUAUGCCCUAGUCUGGUCUGCCAUUACCUCCACUCUCAACGAGAGCACCAAAAUGAUACGAAUAAUUGCACAAUUCGAGGUUGUGCACCUCCUGAGCAGAAAAAAAGAGAAGAAGAAGAGAAUUUAAGAAUUUAAGUCUUGCCUUCUCAUUCAUAAAUCCCUCUACAUAUAUAACGUGAAGGAGGUUACACCCUCUUGCUUCACAAUAGGACAGCUGUCAAUUAGUUGAAACAGAAUAACUAAAAUGGAAAUGCUAAGCUACUGCAAUCAUUUAUUAAUACUGAUAUUCCUUCAGCCACAUGGGUGGUUUACGUGUCCUCUUGACUGACACGUAUCCUUCUUGAGCUGUUGGUGUGGCCGGUGUUCCCGUAUCAUCAUGAG